UGUAGUCUCGCACAGAUGCAUAUCAAUAAGCGGAGGAAAAGAAACUAACUAGGAUUCCCUCAGUAACGGCGAGUGAAGCGGGAAGAGCUCAAAUUUGAAAUCUUCAAGGUUCUACCUUGACGAAUUGUAGUUUAAAGAAGUGUUUUCUGUUGGAGUUUUGGUAAAAGUUCUUUGGAAUAGGACAUCAUAGAGGGUGAGAAUCCCGUAUUUGACCAUUAUUCCCAGCUUUGUGAUACACUUUCAAAGAGUCGGAUUGUUUGGGAAUGCAGUCCAAAAUGGGUGGUAAAUUUCAUCUAAAGCUAAAUACUGGCGAGAGACCGAUAGCGAACAAGUACCGUGAGGGAAAGAUGAAAAGAACUUUGAAAAGAGAGUUAAACAGUACGUGAAAUUGUCAAAAGGGAAGCGUUUGACACCAGUGUUGUUUUCUCGAAAAUCAAUUAAAAAAGGCAGGAUUUUGUGUUGUAUUGACUUUAUCAGCUUUCUGCACUCUUUUCUUGUCUUUUUUUAAUGCACUUUUCGUUUAACAAGUCAACAUCAAUUUCUUUUGUUGUAAAAGGGUCAUUGGAAGGUGGCUUUCUUUUCGGAGAAAGUGUUUAUAGCCUUUGGCCUCUGCAAUCGGAGAGAUUGAGGUCUGCAGCGUAGAUCCUUCGGGGUUAGAUACAUUUGUGCUAAGUUAUAGCCUUUCAUAGACAACUUGUUGACUAUGAUCAGUCAUGUAGCUUACUCGCUUAUGCUAUUUUACCUACGCUUAGGAUGUUGAAGUCAUCGUAUCGCGC
rnacentral:rRNA from 1 species